rnacentral:rRNA from 1 species
AGAUGCGAGAGUAGAGCAUAUCAAUAAGCGGAGGAAAAGAAACUAACAAGGAUUCCCUUAGUAACGGCGAGUGAAGCGGGAAGAGCUCAAAUUUGAAAUCUUCAAGGUUCUACCUUGACGAAUUGUAGUUUAUAGAAGUGUUUUCUGUUAGUGGUAGUGGCAAAAGUUCUUUGGAAUAGGACAUCAUAGAGGGUGAGAAUCCCGUAUUUGGUCAUUCCUCCUAGCGUUGUGAUACACUUUCAACGAGUCGGAUUGUUUGGGAAUGCAGUCCAAAAUGGGUGGUAAAUUUCAUCUAAAGCUAAAUAUUGGCGAGAGACCGAUAGCGAACAAGUACCGUGAGGGAAAGAUGAAAAGAACUUUGAAAAGAGAGUUAAACAGUACGUGAAAUUGUCAAAAGGGAAGCGUUUGACACCAGUGUUGUUUUUCCGAAAAUCAAUUACGAAUGUUUUGUUUUUGAGGAGUUAUGACUUCAUCGGCUUGCUCCUUUCUUUACGAAACUUUCUUAAUGCACUUUUCGGUUAACAAGUCAACAUCAAUUUCUUUUGUUGUAAAAGGGUAUGAGGAAGGUGGCUUUCUUUUCGGAGAAAGUGUUUAUAGCCUUGUGCCUCUGCAAUCGGAGAGAUUGAGGUCUGCAGCGUAGAUCCUUCGGGGUUAGAUACGUUUGUGCCAAGUUAUAGCUUUUCAUAGACAACUUGUUGACUAUGUUUAGUCUUGUAGCUUACUCGCUUACGCUAUUUUACCUACGCUUAGGAUGUUGACGCGCGUGUGUGCGUG